GAUGGAGGGGGAGACAUCGAGAGGGAGACGGUGUCUGGCGGCGUGACGAUGGUGAAUGUGGAGGAGGAGGAGGGGGAGGAGGAGGAGACCACAAUGCCAAGACACCACCACCAACCACCACCACGUGAUGAUGUUGAGCAGGACUUGAAGGAGGAAUGGGUGACCUCAAGACCAAGCAACGAUGGACCACCACCACAACCACCACCACCACCACCCACCACCACCACCACAACUACCACCACGAUGCUGAUGAUGAAGAUUGGGAAUGUUCAACACCAGGCACGGGCGCUUUGUGUGUGGGGGGGGGGGGGGGGGGGAGUGGUGCAGAGAACGUGGGGAGCGGUGGCGCAAGUGGUCAACGCACUGAGCCACGAACCCAGCGACCCGAGUUCGAUUCCCGCUCACGGCCAACACCAGUGACGACGAAUAUCUGAACCGGUCUUGGGCCUCCACUAGGUCGACUCAGCCUCAAAUGAGUACCUGGCGCGGUGAGACAAAGGCGGCUGGGCAUGGUGUUGGCUACCCACCCCCUCGUGUGCCGUGCCGGCCUUCAGAGGUGCUACUCGUUACCAGCACUUGCCCCUACAGUCCGUUAAUGCUGCACGGGGGACCUUUAUCUUUGGUGCAGCGAACACACCGACGGGAUCAUUGUGAGCUCUCGUGCCAGGCGGUUCUAGCAAUGGUCACUGCUGGUGGGUCAGGCUUGACUGUAGGGUCAGGGUCACUGCUGGUGGGUCAGGCUUGACUGUAGGGUCAGGGUCAGGGACGGUUGGGCAGGGUUUAGGGUGGUUCUCGUGGUAGGUGAGUUGGUGAUGGUAUAGGGGAAGGCGGGUAACUAGGAGUUGAUUGGUUAAGGUUUAGGGUAAGUCCUAGGGGCUGGUCAGGGCGAGUACUAAUGGCGAGUGGAUAGGGCUGAGUGAGGAUUAGUGGUGGGCGGGGUUCUCAAUCGCAGAAACGAAAAACAUCUAUAAUGUUUAUAAACACAUGGGGUUUGAUGAAACAAAGUUGUAACUUAACUUAGUGCUGGAUUAUCCUAGUCGCUACGACUACAUGUGUAGUAGCUACACCUGUAGUAGUAGCUACUACACCUGUAUUAGUAGCUACUACACCUGUAGUAGUAGCGACUAGGAUAAUCCAGCACUAAGUUAAGUUACAACUUUGUUUCAUCAAACCCCAUGUGUUUAUAAACAUUAUAGAUGUUUUUCGUUUCUGCGAUUGAGAACCCAAGGGGGGGGGAGGGGUGCAAGGCUUGCAGUAACAGGUGAAGAGCCACUGCACCAGAAUCAUGCAGCAGUGACAGGGGAAGAGCCAGUGGCACUAGAAGCAUGCAGCAGUAACAGGGGAAGAGCCACUGCACCAGAAGCAUGCAGCAGUGACAGGGGAAGAGCCAGUGGCACUAGAAGCAUGCAGCAGUAACAGGGGAAGAGCCACUGCACUAGAAGCAUGCAGCAGUAACAGGGGAAGAGCCAGUGGCACUAGAAGCAUGCAGCAGUAACAAGGAAAGAGCCACUGCACCAGAAGCAUGCAGCAGUGACAGGGGAAGAGCCAGUGGCACUAGAAGCAUGCAGCAGUAACAGGGGAAGAGCCAGUGGCACUAGAAGCAUGCAGCAGUGACAGAAGAGCCAGUGGCACUAGAAACAUGCAGCAGUAACAGGGGAAGAGCCACUGCACCAGAAGCAUGCAGCAGUAACAGGGGAAGAGCCACUGCACUAGAAGCAUGCAGCAGUACCAGGGGAAGAGCCAGUGGCACUAGAAGCAUGCAGCAGUAACAGGGGAAGAGCCAGUGGCGCUAGAAGCAUGCAGCAGUAACAGGGGAAGAGCCAGUGGCACUAGAAGCAUGCAGCAGUGACAGAAGAGCCAGUGGCACUAGAAACAUGCAGCAGUACCAGGGGAAGAGCCACUGCACUAGAAGCAUGCAGCAGUAACAGAAGAGCCAGUGGCACUAGAAGCAUGCAGCAGUAACAGAAGAGCCAGUGGCACUAGAAGCAUGCAGCAGUGACAGAAGAGCCAGUGGCACUAGAAGCAUGCAGCAGUACCAGGGGAAGAGCCAGUGGCACUAGAAGCAUGCAGCAGUAACAGGGGAAGAGCCACUGCACUAGAAGCAUGCAGCAGUGUCCCCAAUGCUUCUGCGUGCGUGGCGAUCACGACCCUGUGGGUGGCAGCCGCGUCGCGACCUCGCGUGUUCCUGAUCGCACUCUGACGCCAUUCCCUUCACUCAGGUCGCGUUGUCCAACUCGCAUCCGCGUCAUAACCCAUCAAUAAAAUGCCUUCCCGAAA